AACCAAAGUCGCACAAAGGUUUAGGGCACUAUCGCUUGGAUAAAUCAACUCGAGCACGGUGCCAUAACACCAAGACCCAAUUUCAAAGAGCCACAUUUGCAACAAUAUAUUGAGACCCUCAUUCCACCACCCCACGAAACGAGAACAUCANGCGACAUCGCCCGAAGCAAAGGGUGGAAGGGUCUCAUUUCAUAGGGCGGUCUCCAUGCCUUGGAGACAGGCAUAGAGGCUUAACCACGAGGCAUCCGCAAAAGUUAAUACCACCCACAAAAGGAUUCCCAAUGCAAGCAACUAUUAUGAACAAAAAAUCGAUCUCCAAAAUAGGGUCAGG
rnacentral:misc_RNA from 1 species